UUUUUUAAAAGGGGAUCCGGGUCAGAUGAGUUAUAUUUUAGGCAUGUUUGGGUUUUUUUGUUUUGUUUUGGGAUUGGUUCUUUCAAUCAAACGGUGCCACAUGUCAUGUCCGUUAAAAUAGGGAUAAAUAUAGAACUUUGUUGGACGGCAGGGGUAUAUAUGAACGAAAAGUAUAACGGGAAUGAGAUUGAAUAAUAAAUAAAACAAUAAAUAAAAGUAGAGAGAUAUAUUUGGCCAUUUUCCGUACAUGAUAUACCUACCCAAUUGAAACUAAUUACCCAAGCUACCUACCCAUCCCACUUUUCUUAUCCAUUUGGCUUAAUAUAACUUAAUUUGGUUUGGAUUCGUUUGACUUAGUUUGGAUUGAACUUGGCUUGGCUUGGCUUGGCUUGGCUUCCCAUGUCCUCGCUUUGGUGUACUGGAUUUAUCGACUAGCAAAUCAGAAGCAACCCCCGAGGCUUAAAAAACACUAGGAUUCACUUCAUUUUUUGGAUCCUAUGUCUCUUUUUUUUGUCCUGUUGAAAUUUUAUGUUUAGGGAUCUUUGAAUUGCUUGAGAAUUUCAGUUGUUGAAAGUUGAAUGGGGUUAUUUGGUUUGUAAAUUUUGUUAUAGACUGGAUAUUUUGUGCUUCAACUUGUACUGGGUUGGAACCCCUUGGUCCCUUCUUACCACAAUUUCACUUUUGGUUAAUGAUUGGCAACUUUAGAUAUUAGAAUUUCUUGAGAAUUUGGGUUCUUGAAAUUUUAAUAGGUAAUCUGUUAUCUAACCUAGACAUGAAUAUGAGCUUCCUAUUCCCUUUUUUUUUUAAAAUUUUUUAUUGUUAAAGUUAUUUCAUUGAAAAUCUAGCAUCAAGAAAGUGUAAAGGUAUAUACAUAGGGAGCAGAUUAUCGCUGCUGCAAGUGUAAAGAGCUCAAAAAAUCUAUAAUGCCUGCCCCUCUAACCUUCUUCACCUUAAAUAUCAGGCUUUUGUAUGCAACAAGGUUCGGAUAUGUGACGUGUGCUUAAUCCACAUAUCACGCAUUACACUCUUACCACUAGACCAAAGCCUUGGGACUAUCUAUUACUCACGAUGAGUAAAAUGUGAUGAGAUAAUCUAACUUUAGAAUCUUUUUAUUUGAUUAAGAAAGAAAGAGGAAAAGAAGCAAUGAGCUGUUUGUGCUUGUAGCAUUUCAAAAUUGUUGAAAUUUGAGCAUGCAUCAACACUUAUAUGCUGUUCUCAACUUUUGAGAAGCUACAGGAAUCUAGAAGAGGAAUUAAGAAGAAAAGAAAAACGAGUUUCCAAAUUGGGUUCGCAGUUAGCAACUUUGAUUUUUGUGUUCUAUAAGUCCAUUUAAGCUCAAAUGAUCAUGAUUUUGAUUAAAAGAUUCAUUUGAAAUUGUGUUUUUUCCUAUAUUCUACUUUCUACCCCUUGAUCCAAUUUAUAUGCGACAUUUUCUAUUUAGCGAGUCCCCAAAUAUGACAUUCAAAAAUUCAGAAACUUAUGUUCAAUCAAUUUUUUGAGUUUGAACUUUGAUGAUGCUGUUUGAUCAUACUGACUUUUCAAGAACUAUUCAAAUGCUUUCAUCCACUUUAGCUUACAUAAUAACAAAUCAAAAAAAUUUUUUUAAGCUUUGUUAUCAAGUCAAAUGGUGUUGCAUAAAUGGGAGAGUGGGAGUAUUUGUGAUGCUAAUGACCCAUCCAAGAUAAUGCAUUUACUUUAUUUUGGAUUCACAGUGGGUUAAUAAUUUCUUAAGAUCCAGAGGGUUAAACAAAACUCUCUUCUUGUCAAUUGAAGAAUUUUGUGUGAGAAAAUCCUGUGUUUUCGUAUUUAUUCCUUCGUUGUUCUUUCGUUAUGGUGGUUCGAGGCUUUUGUUUAAUAUACUGAUUCUACAUUCUUCAUCCAUAUUCAAAUGGUUUUCUUCUUUUAAAAUUCUUUUUAGAUUUGUUCAUCAAAUUCAAAUGAUUUUGUUCUUUUAAAUUUCUUUUUAGAUUUUGUUUUUUCUCUUUAUGUAUUCCUACUAUUAAUAAGCGGGAAACGAGAGCUGCAUCCGGUUAGAAAGCGGCUCAGAAGGGUGUUUGUAAUUUAAUCAAAAUGCCUAACAUUAUAAUUCGACACAUCCUGCCCGCUCUCUCCAGGUUUGACACGUUGCUACCUAGCAAAAUUUUGGGUUGCACUCGGCUUCCUCUGUUUUCUUUGUGCAAAUCUUUGAUGAUUUCUCAAGUUCCCGCUCUUCUUUACUCCGUCUUUCAGUUUGCCCAGACUAGCUCUUCCAAGUUCUUGCUAUUUGUCUGAUAUAAAGUACAGGCAAAAUAGCCGGAGUGUUCCAUGGAUCACAAGUUAUGGAUAUUUCAUGGCAUAUCGACGACGCAUUGUUGCGAGAAUGAUCAAGUUGUAGAUCCUGUUUGGAUUGACAAAAUUAAGGGAAAUUUUGCUACAUCCAUGUCAAACAUCACCUAGGUGGACUUGAAGAUGCAGGUGGGUAAGAACAACAAGGAUAUUAAAUUUGAAGAAGAAACAGAGGAGCCAAGAUUGGGAAAGUUUGUGAACUUAGGUUUGUACUUUGCGAAAGAUACAGAGUCCCUGAUGAGGUGGUUGAGAACAGCAAGGGUACAGAUUUUGUUGCAGAAGAAGAGGAGCCAAAAUUCGCAAUGGCUGUGGAAGACAUCAAGUUGAGUUCUCCUAAGAAUAGGGAGUCCAAUACCAAUGAGGUUGUCAAAUCAGACAUCUGAACGUGGAGACAACAAAAUUGACACUAUCCAAAGAUGUUGAAAGUCUGUAGAAGACAUCAAGUUGAAUUAUCCUAAGAAUAGGAAGUCCAAUGCUAAUGAGGUUGUCAAAUCAAAACAUCUGAACAUGGAAACAACAAAAUUGACACUAUCCAAAGAUGUUGAGGAGCUAUAGUCUAAGAUAAAUUCGCUGGAUGCUCAUCUAAUUGAGGUGAUAUGUGUACAAGGAAUGUUAAGGAGCAGUUUUGGAGUCAAAAAUUGGAGAAAAGAGGCCAAAUAUGUAAAUUCCCAAUGAAGCCACGCCCUGCUAGCCCUUAGAAUUCAGAGAACUGGUUUGGCCGCGGUUCUACCGCGACCGCGGCAGAACCGCGGUGGAAAGCAGCUGCAGAACUUCAGUGAUUCCGCGAG